rnacentral:rRNA from 1 species
AUACGGAGGGGACUAGCGUUGUUCGGAAUUACUGGGCGUAAAGCGUACGUAGGCGGACUGAUCAGUUGGGGGUGAAAUCCCAGGGCUUAACCCUGGAACUGCCUUCAAUACUGUCAGUCUUGAGAUUGGAAGAGGUGAGUGGAAUUCCUAGUGUAGAGGUGAAAUUCAUAGAUAUUAGGAGGAACACCAGUGGCGAAGGCGGCUCACUGGUCCAAUACUGACGCUGAGGUACGAAAGCGUGGGGAGCAAACAGGAUUAGAAACCCUAGUAGUCC